rnacentral:rRNA from 1 species
CACUAUCGUUAACUGAAUACAUAGGUUAACGAGGCGAACCGGGGGAACUGAAACAUCUAAGUACCCCGAGGAAAAGAAAUCAACCGAGAUUCCCCCAGUAGCGGCGAGCGAACGGGGAGCAGCCCAGAGUCUGAAUCAGCUUGUGUGUUAGUGGAACGGUCUGGAAAGUCCGACGGUACAGGGUGAUAGUCCCGUACACCAAAAUGCACAGGCUGUGAACUCGAAGAGUAGGGCGGGACACGUGGUAUCCUGUCUGAAUAUGGGGGGACCAUCCUCCAAGGCUAAAUACUCCUGACUGACCGAUAGUGAACCAGUACCGUGAGGGAAAGGCGAAAAGAACCCCGGCGAGGGGAGUGAAAAAGAACCUGAAACCGUGUACGUACAAGCAGUGGGAGCACCUUCGGGUGUGACUGCGUACCUUUUGUAUAAUGGGUCAGCGACUUAUAUUCUGUAGCAAGGUUAACCGUAUAGGGGAGCCGCAGGGAAACCGAGUCUUAACUGGGCGUUAAGUUGCAGGGUAUAGACCCGAAACCCGGUGAUCUAGCCAUGGGCAGGUUGAAGGUUGGGUAACACUAACUGGAGGACCGAACCGACUAAUGUUGAAAAAUUAGCGGAUGACUUGUGGCUGGGGGUGAAAGGCCAAUCAAACCGGGAGAUAGCUGGUUCUCCCCGAAAGCUAUUUAGGUAGCGCCUCGUGAAUUCAUCUUCGGGGGUAGAGCACUGUUUCGGCUAGGGGGUCAUCCCGACUUACCAACCCGAUGCAAACUACGAAUACCGAAGAAUGUUAUCACGGGAGACACACGGCGGGUGCUAACGUCCGUCGUGAAGAGGGAAACAACCCAGACCGCCAGCUAAGGUCCCAAAGUCAUGGUUAAGUGGGAAACGAUGUGGGAAGGCACAGACAGCCAGGAUGUUGGCUUAGAAGCAGCCAUCAUUUAAAGAAAGCGUAAUAGCUCACUGGUCGAGUCGGCCUGCGCGGAAGAUGUAACGGGGCUAAACCAUGCACCGAAGCUGCGGCAGCGACACUAUGUGUUGUUGGGUAGGGGAGCGUUCUGUAAGCCUGCGAAGGUGGCCUGUGAGGGUUGCUGGAGGUAUCAGAAGUGCGAAUGCUGACAUAAGUAACGAUAAAGCGGGUGAAAAGCCCGCUCGCCGGAAGACCAAGGGUUCCUGUCCAACGUUAAUCGGGGCAGGGUGAGUCGACCCCUAAGGCGAGGCCGAAAGGCGUAGUCGAUGGGAAACAGGUUAAUAUUCCUGUACUUGGUGUUACUGCGAAGGGGGGACGGAGAAGGCUAUGUUAGCCGGGCGACGGUUGUCCCGGUUUAAGCAUGUAGGCUGGUUAUCCAGGCAAAUCCGGAUAAUCAAGGCUGAGGUGUGAUGACGAGGCACUACGGUGCUGAAGUAACAAAUGCCCUGCUUCCAGGAAAAGCCUCUAAGCAUCAGGUAACAUCAAAUCGUACCCCAAACCGACACAGGUGGUCAGGUAGAGAAUACCAAGGCGCUUGAGAGAACUCGGGUGAAGGAACUAGGCAAAAUGGUGCCGUAACUUCGGGAGAAGGCACGCUGGUGUGUAGGUGAAGCCCCUGCGGGUGGAGCUGAGACCAGUCGAAGAUACCAGCUGGCUGCAACUGUUUAUUAAAAACACAGCACUGUGCAAACACGAAAGUGGACGUAUACGGUGUGACGCCUGCCCGGUGCCGGAAGGUUAAUUGAUGGGGUUAUCCGUAAGGAGAAGCUCUUGAUCGAAGCCCCGGUAAACGGCGGCCGUAACUAUAACGGUCCUAAGGUAGCGAAAUUCCUUGUCGGGUAAGUUCCGACCUGCACGAAUGGCGUAAUGAUGGCCAGGCUGUCUCCACCCGAGACUCAGUGAAAUUGAACUCGCUGUGAAGAUGCAGUGUACCCGCGGCAAGACGGAAAGACCCCGUGAACCUUUACUAUAGCUUGACACUGAACAUUGAGCCUUGAUGUGUAGGAUAGGUGGGAGGCUUUGAAGCGUGGACGCCAGUCUGCGUGGAGCCAACCUUGAAAUACCACCCUUUAAUGUUUGAUGUUCUAACGUUGGCCCCUGACCGGGGUUGCGGACAGUGUCUGGUGGGUAGUUUGACUGGGGCGGUCUCCUCCCAAAGCGUAACGGAGGAGCACGAAGGUUAGCUAAUCCUGGUCGGACAUCAGGAGGUUAGUGCAAUGGCAUAAGCUAGCUUGACUGCGAGCGUGACGGCGCGAGCAGGUGCGAAAGCAGGUCAUAGUGAUCCGGUGGUUCUGAAUGGAAGGGCCAUCGCUCAACGGAUAAAAGGUACUCCGGGGAUAACAGGCUGAUACCGCCCAAGAGUUCAUAUCGACGGCGGUGUUUGGCACCUCGAUGUCGGCUCAUCACAUCCUGGGGCUGAAGUAGGUCCCAAGGGUAUGGCUGUUCGCCAUUUAAAGUGGUACGCGAGCUGGGUUUAGAACGUCGUGAGACAGUUCGGUCCCUAUCUGCCGUGGGCGCUGGAGAAUUGAGGGGGGCUGCUCCUAGUACGAGAGGACCGGAGUGGACGCAUCACUGGUGUUCGGGUUGUCAUGCCAAUGGCACUGCCCGGUAGCUAAAUGCGGAAGAGAUAAGUGCUGAAAGCAUCUAAGCACGAAACUUGCCCCGAGAUGAGUUCUCCCUGAGACUUUAAGUCUCCUGAAGGAACGUUGAAGACGACGACGUUGAUAGGCCGGGUGUGUAAGCGCAGCGAUGCGUUGAGCUAACCGGUACUAAUGAACCGUGAGGCUUAACCUU